GACGUAGACCUCGAGCGUUAUCCGGAUUUAUUGGGCGUAAAGCGCGUGUAGGUGGUUUUGCGCGUCUUCUGUUAAAGCCCAGGGCCUAACCCUGGAUCUGCAGGAGAUACGGCGAGACUAGAGGAGGUUAGAGGUGCAUGGAACGCACGGUGUAGGGGUGAAAUCCGUUGAUAUCGUGCGGAACACCAAAGGCGAAGGCAGUGCACUGGGACCUUCCUGACACUGAGACGCGAAAGCGUGGGGAGCAAAAAGG
rnacentral:rRNA from 1 species